rnacentral:rRNA from 1 species
UACGGAGGGUGCAAGCGUUAUCCGGAUUCACUGGGCUUAAAGGGUGCGUAGGUGGGUUGGUAAGUCAGUGGUGAAAUCCCCGAGCUUAACUUGGGAACUGCCAUUGAUACUAUCAGUCUUGAAUACCGUGGAGGUUAGCGGAAUAUGUCAUGUAGCGGUGAAAUGCUUAGAUAUGACAUAGAACACCAAUUGCGAAGGCAGCUGGCUACACGAAUAUUGACACUGAGGCACGAAAGCGUGGGGAUCAAACAGG